UUGUAUUUAAAUUACUUAUUCCUUAGUAUCUAAACUAGAGCAUUAAGCUGUACUGGUUUUGUUUAUCAUUCAUAUGAGGACACCCAAGUAAGCAAGGGUUGCUUCCCUAGUGACCUACUCUUCAUAACUGACCGCUGUUCUUUUGUCAUUGAUUUUGAAGAGAAAGUAUUUGUUGAUAGUGAGAGUGAGGAUAAUGAUGGGGUGAGUGAGGAUGGGGAAGAUGCUCCAUCCAUGCAUGAUCAGCAAGAGGCGCAAAUGCAAGUGGAAAAAGAGACACAAAUUCAAGUGGAAAAGGACGCACCACCAACAGAUGGCAAUUUGGAGACAUGUAGAUCUGUACGGCUUGUCAAGAAGAAGACCAAGGGCGUCAACAGCCUAUACCCCGCUGCUUAGAAAUCUGCUGGCAAGUAUCUUCUUUCUAGUGUUUUAUGAUUCAUGAUAAUUGCUUAGAAAAUUUUAGUUACUUGGAGCUGCUAGUUUCUUAGAUGUAUAAACUUUCUAUCCAUGCCUAGCCUUCGUUGUCAUGUUAAGCAAUGUAUUUAUGUUAUCCUGAAAUGUUACCACUUGACUAUUGUUGCACUAGACACCUCCCUGUUAGUCCAUUUUAUUUCAUUAUGCAUAAAGUGGAAGAAGAAAAUUCUGAUGUUGAACUACAUCAAUCCUGAUCCUUUCUUUGUUUUCUCUAUAUGAACUAGAAAUGCCACAUGAAGAACUAAGGAUAUCAAGAAGCUUUUGGAUGUAUGCAAGCUUGGAGCUGUUGUUUUAUAGGUAUAUUAACCACUGUAUUUGUCAUGCAAUAUGUUUGAGCUUAUGCAUGAAUUUUGAUUCACAUUUUUCACCGUGGAUUUUCCUUUUGUAUGACAAUUGACAAAUGGCUAGUCCAAGCCAACAGUGGGCUGUUUGUGUCUAUGUUGCUUUCUUUGUAUCCUUAGAGUUUUGUUGUGCUGGAGUAAAAACCGUAAACUAGAAUUCAUCAUUCUAGUAUAUGGAGGCAUUUAACCUUUGCUCCUGAAGCUUUUUGGUGAAUAAAAAACUAUAUUGCUGUAGUAGAUUUGUUAUUUGAUUCAUGAGCAUGCAUAAAUUUGACUAUUGUUCUACUAGCCACUUG
rnacentral:lncRNA from 1 species